rnacentral:rRNA from 1 species
UACGGGGGGGGCAAGCGUUGUUCGGAAUUACUGGGCGUAAAGGGCUCGUAGGUGGCCAACUAAGUCGGACGUGAAAUCCCCAGGCUCAACUUGGGAACUGCAUCCGAUACUGGAUGGCUUGAAUUCGGGAGAGGGAUGCAGAAUUCCAGGUGUAGCGGUGAAAUGCGUAGAUAUCUGGAGGAAUACCGGUGGCGAAGGCGGCAUCCUGGACCGACAUUGACGCUGAGGAGCGAAAGCUAGGGGAGCAAACGGG